rnacentral:rRNA from 1 species
GCAUUUGGGGGAUGUAUAGCUUAUGCUAAUUGUAUGUUAAAUACAAUAUCGACUAUGUCGAAUAAAGUUCUAGAUAGAAUACUGAUAAUGACAAUUUUUUAUCUAUAUGUCUUGACCAAAUCACGUGCCAGCAGUCGCGGUAAUACGUGGAAGACUAGUGUUAUUCAUCUUUAAUAGGUUUAAAGGGUACCUAGACGGUAUUUCUAGCCCAAAUAGGGUACGGAUUUACUAGAGUUUAAUGUAAGAAGAAAAACUUAAGAAUGAAAAUUAAUUUUCAUUUUUUGUAGUACUUGAAGUGUAGAGAUAAAAUUUUGUAAUAUUUUAAGGAAACUGGUUAUGCGAAAGCAACCUUCUAUGUAUAAACUGACGUUGAGGGACGAAGGCUUGGGUCGCGAAUAGGAUUAGAUACCCUAGUAGUCCAAGCAGAAAAUUAUGAAUGUCAUAGAUCAGAUUUAUUUUGGUUUAUAAAUGAAAGUGUAAGCAUUCCACCUCAAGAGUAAUGCGGCAACGCAGGAACUGAAAUCAUUAGACCGUUUCUGAAACCAGUAGUGAAGUAUGUUAUUUAAUUCGAUAAUCCGCGAAAAACCUUACCACAAUUUGAAUAAUGAUAAAAUACAAGCGCUGCACGGCUGUCUUCAGUUAAUGUCGUGAGAUUUUGGUUAGUUCCAUUAAAUUAACGUAAACCCUUGCUUUAUUUAUACUAUUUAUAUAAAGUAGUUCACCGCUAUAUUGGAUAUGAUAAAAGGGAAUAAG